rnacentral:rRNA from 1 species
UACGUAGGGGGCAAGCGUUGUCCGGAUUUAUUGGGCGUAAAGGGCGCGUAGGCGGCCAGCACAAGUCAGUUGUGAAAUCUCCGAGCUUAACUCGGAACGGUCAACUGAUACUGUGCGGCUAGAGUGCAGAAGGGGCAACUGGAAUUCUUGGUGUAGCGGUGAAAUGCGCAGAUAUCAGGAAGAACACCAAUGCGAAGGCAGCUCUCUGGGACGGUACUGACGCUGAGACACGAAAGCCAGGGGAGCAAACGGG